rnacentral:rRNA from 1 species
GAUGAACGCUGGCGGCGUGCCUAAUACAUGCAAGUCGAGCGAAGCGGGGACGGGUGAGUAAGACGUGGAUAACCUCCUAUAAGACUGGGAUAACGUCGGGAAACCGGAGCUAAACCCGAGACUUAUAGAUGGAUCCGCGCGGCAUUAGCUAGUUGGUAAGGUAACGGCUUACCAAGGCAACGAUGCAUAGCCGACCUGAGAGGGUGAUCGGCCACGGUGGAACUGGGACACGGUCCAGACUCCUACGGGAGGCAGCAGUAGGGAAUCUUGCGCAAUGGGCGAAAGCCUGACGGAGCAACGCCGCGUGAGUGAUGAAGGUCUUCGGAUCGUAAAACUCUGUUAUUAGGGAAGGGGUACCUAAUCAGAAAGCCACGGCUAACUACGUGCCAGCAGCCGCGGUAAUAC